rnacentral:rRNA from 1 species
GAGGCUACACGAAGAACCUUACCAGGGUUUGACAUGCAAGUGGUAGGAAUCCGAAAGGUGACCGACCCUUCGGGGAGCUUGCACAGGUGCUGCAUGGCUGUCGUCAGCUCGUGUCGUGAGAUGUUCGGUUAAGUCCGCUAACGAGCGCAACCCUCGUCGUGUGUUAUACGUGUCACACGAUACUGCCGGUAUCAAGCCGGAGGAAGUGGGGAUGAUGUCAAGUCAGCAUGGCCUUUAUAUCCUGGGCUACACACACGCUACAAUGGCAGAUACAAUAGGUUGCGAAACCGCGAGGUGGAGCCAAUCCUCAAAGUCUGUCUCAGUUCAGAUUGUAGGCUGCAACUCGCCUGCAUGAAGUUGGAGUUGCUAGUAAACGCAGGUCAGCUAUACUGCGUUGAAUACGUUCCCGGGGUUU